rnacentral:rRNA from 1 species
GAUGAACGCUGGCGGCGUGCCUAAUACAUGCAAGUCGAGCGAACGGACGAGAAGCUUGCUCCUCUGAUGUUAGCGGCGGACGGGUGAGUAACACGUGGAUAACCUACCUAUAAGACUGGGAUAACUUCGGGAAACCGGAGCUACUACCGGAUAAUAUUUUGAACCGCAUGGUUCAAUAGUGAAAGACGGUUUUGCUGUCACUUAUAGAUGGAUCCGCGCUGCAUUAGCUAGUUGGUAAGGUAACGGCUUACCAAGGCAACGAUGCGUAGCCGACCUGAGAGGGUGAUCGGCCACACUGGAACUGAGACACGGUCCAGACUCCUACGGGAGGCAGCAGUGGGGAAUCUUCCGCAAUGGGCGAAAGCCUGACGGAGCAACGCCGCGUGAGUGAUGAAGGUCUUCGGAUCGUAAAACUCUGUUAUUAGGGAAGAACAGAUGUGUAAGUAACUGUGCACGUCUUGACGGUACCUAAUCAGAAAGCCACGGCUAACUACGUG